rnacentral:lncRNA from 1 species
UGAAAGAUAUGAUCUAUAAUUUCUAAAAAUAAAAAUAAAUAAAUUCAUGGAUUAAUUAUAUAAUUAUAGGUGGCAAUGCAAGAUUUAAAAUAAUGCAAGACAAGUAUUUAAAAAGAUUCAAGGUAAUGUAAGAAAUAAAAUGAUAUCAGAAGGUUGCAGCAAUUCUGAGUUCGCGAGAGAAAUCCCUCACGACCAAGAUCGAA